rnacentral:rRNA from 1 species
AAGCUUGCUUCAAUGAUGGCGACCGGCGCACGGGUGAGUAACACGUAUCCACCUGCCGAUAACUCGGGGAUAGCCUUUCGAAAGAAAGAUUAAUACCCGAUAGUUCCGCAUGGUUAAAGAAUUUCGGUUAUCGAUGGGGAUGCGUUCCAUUAGAUAGUUGGCGGGGUAACGGCCCACCAAGUCAACGAUGGAUAGGGGUUCUGAGAGGAAGGUCCCCCACAUUGGAACUGAGACACGGUCCAAACUCUACGGGAGGCAGCAGUGAGGAAUAUUGGUCAAUGGACGAGAGUCUGAACCAGCCAAGUAGCGUGAAGGGUGACUGCCUAUGGGUUGUAAACUUCUUUUAUACGGGAAUAAGUGGAGUAUGCAUACUCCUUUGUAUGUACCGUAUGAAUAAGGAUCGGCUAACUCCGUGCCAGCAGCCGCGGUAAUACGGAGGAUCCGAGCGUUAUCCGGAUUUAUUGGGUUUAAAGGGAGCGUAGGCGGGUGCUUAAGUCAGUUGUGAAAGUUUGCGGCUCAACCGUAAAAUUGCAGUUGAUACUGGGCGCCUUGAGUGCAGCAUAGGUAGGCGGAAUUCGUGGUGUAGCGGUGAAAUGCUUAGAUAUCACGAAGAACUCCGAUUGCGAAGGCAGCUUACUGGACUGUAACUGACGCUGAUGCUCGAAAGUGUGAGUAUCAAACAGGAUUAG